rnacentral:rRNA from 1 species
UACGUAGGGAGCGAGCGUUAUCCGGAUUUACUGGGUGUAAAGGGAGCGUAGACGGCUGUGCAAGUCUGAAGUGAAAGCCCAGGGCUCAACCCUGGGACUGCAUUGGAAACUGUCGUGCUGGAGUGCAGGAGAGGUAAGCGGAAUUCCUAGUGUAGCGGUGAAAUGCGUAGAUAUUAGGAGGAACACCGGUGGCGAAGGCGGCCUGCUGGACUGUGACUGACGUUGAGGCCCGAAGGCGUGGGGAGCAA